GUUAAACACGGCAGCAGCAACAGCAAAAGCAACACACAUAAAUUAAGCAUGUUCUGGGAUCUAUUGGGUGGCAUUUUCGACUUUAUAAUGGGACUGAUAUUUCCAAGUUCCGGUGACGAUGAGCCGGACUCCUCGGAGGUGGAAACAAAUCCUUGAGAUGAGCGCAUCUUUGAAUUGUGUUGUGUGCAUUUCGCAUAAUAUAUAUUUCGUUUUAAUUCAAAAAACAGCAGUGCUUAAUUAUAGUCUAUUAAUUCGGAGUAUAUACCAUGCAUAUAUAUAAUUAUAUAUAUAAGUGGCUUUAUUACAUCUCCAAAUAACUAAAAA